AUGAAGCCUGUCAUCAUCUCAUCGCUGGUGCUGAUGGUCACCUUCAGAGGGACAGGAGCCCAGACAGUGACCCAGCCUGAUGACCACAUCUCUGUCCUCGCUGGGAAGCCUGUGCAGCUGAUGUGCAAGUACUCGUAUUCUGGGUCUUCUUAUCUCUUCUGGUAUGUCCAGUACCCCAAACAACCUCUCCAGUUACUCCUGAAUCACCUCUCAAAGGGGACUGUCAAAGGUUUCACAGCCAACACUGGCACGGACAAGUCUUCCUUCCAGCUGCAGAAAGCAUCAGCUCAGGAGGAAGACUCAGCCACAUACUUCUGCGCAUUGAGUGGCACAGUGACUGGGUAUGUAGGGGAAGCAGAGCUCAAACCCCGGGGCUUUCCGGGAGUCUCUUUGUGGUUUUCUGGCCACAGUGGGGCAUUCUUUCUCUAG